AGCCCGCUACAGAAACUCAAAGGAAGUUGACGGGGCCCGCACAAGCGGUGGAGUAUGUGGUUUAAUUCGAUGCAACGCGAAGAACCUUACCUGGUCUUGACAUCCCGGAGACCCUUAGGAAACUAGGGGGUGCUUCCAUCUGGAAGAAUCUGGAGACAGGUGCUGCAUGGCUGUCGUCAGCUCGUGUCGUGAGAUGUUGGGUUAAGUCCCGCAACGAGCGCAACCCUUGCCUUUAGUUGCCAGCAGUUCGGCUGGGCACUCUAAAGGGACUGCCGGUGUUAAACCGGAGGAAGGUGGGGAUGACGUCAAGUCCUCAUGGCCUUUAUGACCAGGGCUACACACGUACUACAAUGGCCGAUACAAAGGGCAGCGACACUGCGAGGUGAAGCCAAUCCCGUAAAAUCGGUCUCAGUCCGGAUUGGAGUCUGCAACUCGACUCCAUGAAGUUGGAAUCGCUAGUAAUCGUGGAUCAGCAUGCCACGGUGAAUACGUUCCCGGGCCUU
rnacentral:rRNA from 1 species